rnacentral:rRNA from 1 species
AUUGAACGCUGGCGGCAGGCCUAACACAUGCAAGUCGAACGAGUGGCGGACGGGUGAGUAAUGUCUGGGAAACUGCCUGAUGGAGGGGGAUAACUACUGGAAACGGUAGCUAAUACCGCAUACCAUCGGAUGUGCCAAGAUGGGAUUAGCUAUUAGGUGGGGUAAAGGCUCACCUAGGAGACGAUCCCUAGCUGGUCGGCGAGGAUGACGAGCCACACUGGAACUAAGCAACGGGCCGGACCCCUACGGGAGGAAGCAGUGGGGAAUAUGGGACAAUGGGCGGAAGCCUGAUGCAGCCAUGCCGGGUAGAUGAAGAAGGCCUUGGGGUUGAAAAGUACUUUCAGCGGGGAGGCGUUACCCGCAGAAGAAGCACCGGCUACCUCCGUGCAAGCAGCCGCGGUAUUC